rnacentral:rRNA from 1 species
AUUGAACGCUGGCGGCAGGCCUAACACAUGCAAGUCGAGCGAGCUGCGGACGGGUGAGUAAUGUAUGGGGACUGCCCGAUAGAGGUGGAUAACUACUGGAAACGGUAGCUAAUACCGCAUCCUAUCGGAUAACCCAUAUGGGAUUAGCUAGUAGGGGAGGUAAUGGCUCACCUAGGCGACGAUCCCUAGCUGAUCUGAUCGGCUGAUCGGCCACACUGGGACUGCGACACGGCCCAGCCUCCUACGGAGACAGCAGUGGGUAAUAUUGCACAAUGGGCGCAAGCCUGAUGCAGCCAUGCCGCGUGUAUGAAGAAGGCCCUAGGGUUGUAAAGUACUUUCAGUCGGGAGGCGUUACCGACAGAAGAAGCACCGGCUAACUCCGUGCCAACAGCCGCGGUAAUUC